AUUACCGUAAUGCUUUCGAAGAUCGCGAAAUUUUCUACAGAUUAUUCUAAUCUUCCUGAAUCCUAUAUUAAACGAGCGAUGAGACAAGUUUAUUGGGAAGCACCAAGAGAUUUGCCACAAUAUCUGCCUGUAACUCUA